rnacentral:tmRNA from 1 species
GGGGGUGCUUUGGUUUCGACUUGAUUUGAAAUCUACCCCGACUCAACCAGAGUAGUUGGCUUAACUGACUUGCUGAUAAGAUCAAAACAAACGGCGAAAAUAAAGUCGCUCUUGCUGCGUAAGCAGCGAGUCUUUGGGGAAAGUUAAUCCGAUAACCAAGGGCUAUGAGUAGGUGAGAUUUGACUGAGCGGAAAGACGCACUACGAUCCUUAUACGGAACAAGAUAAGGAGGGCUGGAUACCUUUCACCAGCUAGUCUAUCGUCAGACGAAAAGCGGCGAGUAUGGUUGUAUAUGGUCGGAAUGAAGACAUUUUAAGGACAGGAGUUCGAAUCUCCUCACCUCCACCA